rnacentral:rRNA from 1 species
AGCAGCCGCGGUAAUUCCAGCUCCAAUAGCGUAUAUUAAAGUUGCUGCGGUUAAAAGCUCGUAGUUGAAUUUCGGGAUCAAUAUGUCGGUCGUGCCUCGGUACGCACUGGCUUAUUGGUUUCUCCCUUCUGACGAACCAUGAUGUCAUUAAUUUGGUGUUUUGGGAAAUCAGGACUGUUACUUUAGAAAAAUUAGAGUGUUUAAAGCAGGCUCACGCUUGAAUACAUUAGCAUGGAAUAAUGAAAUAGGACGUUUGAUUCUAUUUUGUUGGUUUCUAGGAUCGACGUAAUGAUUAAUAGGGAUAGUUGGGGGCAUUAGUAUUCAAUUGUCAGAGGUGAAAUUCUUGGAUUUAUUGAAGACUAACUACUGCGAAAGC